GGAGAGUUGGCCGAGCUGGUCGAAGGCGCUCGACUCGAAAUCGAGUAGAUGGUGCUGAGCCGUCUCUAGGGUUCGAAUCCCUAACUCUCCGCCA
rnacentral:tRNA from 1 species